UGAACGCUGGCGGCAGGCCUAACACAUGCAAGUCGAACGGUAACAGGAAGCAGCUUGCUGUUUCGCUGACGAGUGGCGGACGGGUGAGUAAUGUCUGGGAAACUGCCUGAUGGAGGGGGAUAACUACUGGAAACGGUAGCUAAUACCGCAUAACGUCGCAAGACCAAAGAGGGGGACCUUCGGGCCUCUUGCCAUCGGAUGUGCCCAGAUGGGAUUAGCUAGUAGGUGGGGUAACGGCUCACCUAGGCGACGAUCCCUAGCUGGUCUGAGAGGAUGACCAGCCACACUGGAACUGAGACACGGUCCAGACUCCUACGGGAGGCAGCAGUGGGGAAUAUUGCACAAUGGGCGCAAGCCUGAUGCAGCCAUGCCGCGUGUAUGAAGAAGGCCUUCGGGUUGUAAAGUACUUUCAGCGGGGAGGAAGGGAGUAAAGUUAAUACCUUUGCUCAUUGACGUUACCCGCAGAAGAAGCACCGGCUAACUCCGUGCCAGCAGCCGCGGUAAUACGGAGGGUGCAAGCGUUAAUCGGAAUUACUGGGCGUAAAGCGCACGCAGGCGGUUUGUUAAGUCAGAUGUGAAAUCCCCGGGCUCAACCUGGGAACUGCAUCUGAUACUGGCAAGCUUGAGUCUCGUAGAGGGGGGUAGAAUUCCAGGUGUAGCGGUGAAAUGCGUAGAGAUCUGGAGGAAUACCGGUGGCGAAGGCGGCCCCCUGGACGAAGACUGACGCUCAGGUGCGAAAGCGUGGGGAGCAAACAGGAUU
rnacentral:rRNA from 1 species